CAAUAGCGUAUAUUAAAGUUGUUGCGGUUAAAAAGCUCGUAGUUGGAUUUCUGCUGAGGAUGACCGGUCCGCCCUCUGGGCAGGUAUCUGGCUCAGCCUUGGCAUCUUCCUGAAGAACGCAGCUGCACUUGACUGUGUGGUGCGGUAUUUAGGACAUUUACUUUGAGGAAAUUAGAGUGUUUCAAGCAAGCGCACGCCUUGAAUACAUUAGCAUGGAAUAAUAAGAUAGGACCUCGGUUCUAUUUUGUUGGUUUCUAGAACUGAGGUAAUGAUUGAUAGGGAUAGUUGGGGGCAUUCGUAUUUAACUGUUAGAGGUGAAAUUCUUGGAUUUGUUAAAGACGGACUACUGCGAAAGCAUUUGCCAAGGAUGUUUUCAUUGA
rnacentral:rRNA from 1 species